ensembl:rRNA 5S_rRNA 5S ribosomal RNA
GUUUAGGGCCAUACCUCCCUUAACACACCCUAUCACCAAUCUCUUCUGAUCUUGGAAGCUAAGCAGGGUUGGGCCCAGUUAGUAUUUGGAUGGGAGAAAAUUAUGAGAUUUAUACU